GAAACAACCAUAGCUGCAAUCUUGCUGACACAGAUUAAAUCAGAUCUUUAUCUUGCUCCUUUCAGCAUCUCCACACUAGAGAUUGGGAAAGGAGUUUUAAAAUUUUAUAUCCAAGGUCUGCAAAGAAAAAAUACAUGGCAUUAAUUAGCCAGUAAUCUGGAGUCUGAAGCCAGCUAUAUAUGUGCUUAUAUGACUUGACAGGCCAUUGUACAGGAAAGUGAUCUGCCUCAGAAUCAAAGUAUUACUAGGAAGAAUCUUUGCAGAUUAUGUCAUAAGUGGAACUGGUAAAACAUUCUUGCACUGAGAACACUCAAUUCCUAACCCACUAAUUUAAGGGUGGAACUAUUUCUGGAAAUAUUAUGAGCCUGAUGAAGAACUUCUUAUUCUGAGUGAAAAAGAAGGUGGUUUUACAAAGAAAUUAUGUUACCUAUUGAUGGAGAGCAAAUACCUAUGACAGACAGAGGAGGAAGACAGAGGAGGAAAGGAUACCACAACUGCAGAUUGCUGCAGAAUACUUCCUCAGCCAGUCACCGCAGUAAAUACACACCAUCUAGCAUUGCUUCAAGUUCCUCUGAGUGUUUCCAAAUUAACAGUUAAGUGCAGUUCACCUCUUGGAAAAGUUACUGUUUUGACUUGGAAUGUCUGUGCUAUGAAUCACAGAUAGAUACUUGUAACAGCUAUUUGUUUUGAAGGCAGAGGACAUUUCUCUACUGAGCUCUAUGUGAAAUAGUUUAAAUAGUCUCUAAUAUGAGCAUGUAGGUUAAUUUUCUACUGCAGGUCAGAACCCUAAAUUACCAGGGUUUUGCAGCUGUAGGAAACCUUGCAUUGUUCAAGGCCGGCCAAAUAAAUCUGUUUAAAAAUAUCA
rnacentral:lncRNA from 1 species